rnacentral:antisense_RNA from 1 species
CUUGAUCGAACCCAGCAGCAGCGGCUGCCCGUCGGCGCGGUCCUGGCCGUAUGUCGCCAGCAGCGCCUGCGCCUC